GUGGGGAAUCUUCCGCAAUGGACGAAAGUCUGACGGAGCAACGCCGCGUGAGUGAAGAAGGUUUUCGGAUCGUAAAGCUCUUUCGUUAGGGACGAACGUGCUCUUUGUGAAUAAUGAGGAGUAAUGACGGUACCUAAAUAAGAAGCCACGGCUAACUACGUGCCAGCAGCCGCGGUAAUACGUAGGUGGCAAGCGUUGUCCGGAAUUAUUGGGCGUAAAGCGCGCGCAGGCGGGAUAUCAAGUCUGUCUUAAAAGUGCGAGGCUCAACCUCGUGAGGGGACAGAAACUGGUAUUCUUGAGUGUCGGAGAGGAAAGUGGAAUUCCUAGUGUAGCGGUGAAAUGCGUAGAUAUUAGGAGGAACACCAGUGGCGAAGGCGACUUUCUGGACUGUAACUGACGCUGAGGCUCGAAAGCCAGGGGAGCGAACGGGAUUAGAUACCCCAGUAGUCC
rnacentral:rRNA from 1 species